rnacentral:rRNA from 1 species
GCAGUCGACGGUAACAGGUCUUCGGAUGCUGACGAGUGGCGAACGGGUGCGUAAUACAUCGGAACGUGCCCGAUCGUGGGGGAUAACGGAGCGAAAGCUUUGCUAAUACCGCAUACGAUCUACGGAUGAAAGCAGGGGACCGCAAGGCCUUGCGCGGACGGAGCGGCCGAUGGCAGAUUAGGUAGUUGGUGGGAUAAAAGCUUACCAAGCCGACGAUCUGUAGCUGGUCUGAGAGGACGACCAGCCACACUGGGACUGAGACACGGCCCAGACUCCUACGGGAGGCAGCAGUGGGGAAUUUUGGACAAUGGGCGAAAGCCUGAUCCAGCCAUGCCGCGUGCAGGAUGAAGGCCUUCGGGUUGUAAACUGCUUUUGUACGGAACGAAAAGACUCCUUCUAAUAAAGGGGGUCCAUGACGGUACCGUAAGAAUAAGCACCGGCUAACUACGUGCCAGCAGCCGCGGUAAUACGUAGGGUGCAAGCGUUAAUCGGAAUUACUGGGCGUAAAGUGCGCGUAGGUGGUUAGUUAAGUUGGAUGUGAAAUCCCCGGGCUCAACCUGGGAACUGCAUUCAAAACUGACUGACUAGAGUAUGGUAGAGGGUGGUGGAAUUUCCUGUGUAGCGGUGAAAU